ACCAGCUAACGAGUCCCAAAUAAGACGAAAUGCGCAUCCUAGAU
rnacentral:hammerhead_ribozyme from 1 species